CCUUACCCUAUUUCAUAGGGUAGAAGAAAACAGGACAUAUUUAGAAUUGACAAAGUGUCCUUUGACUAAAGAACCCAUUUCCUACAAUCCAGAACUAGCUGUUCACUGAGCCUGGAAUUGGAAGAUGGAGACAUGCCAUGGAGCUUCAUUAGUGAUCCUGUGUCUUCACCUGGCCUGGGUGAGCUGCCUACAGAAGGUGGAGCAGAGCCCUCAAUUCCUGAACAUCCAGGAGGGAGAGAGCACCAUAAUCAACUGCAACUACACAGAAAAUACUAACCAAGGGCUGCAGUGGUUCAGGCAGGAGCCUGGGAAAGGCCUCACCUUACUGUUUUACAUAAUUUCAGAGGAGAAUCAGAAUGGAAGGUUAAGAUCCAUGAUCAGCAGGAAGGAGCGUCAUAGUUCCCUGCACAUCACUGGUGCCCAGCCUGAAGACUCAGCCACCUACCUCUGUGCUGUGGGAGCACAGUGAUCCCCAGGCACCUGCAGGCUGUGCACAAACCCUAGAGCUGAGAC